rnacentral:tRNA from 1 species
GGGCAUGUAGCUGAGUGGUAACGCACAUGCCUCCCAUAUAUGAGGCUCUGGGUUCAAUUCCUGACAGCCCU